AUUUCUGUAACGCAAUAAAUAGCGCGUUGGACUUCUAAUCCAAAGGUCGUGGGUUCGAAUCCUACCUGGGAUG